rnacentral:rRNA from 1 species
GGCGGACGGGUGAGUAAUACUUAGGAAUCUACCUAGUAGUGGGGGAUAGCUCGGGGAAACUCGAAUUAAUACCGCAUACGUCCUACGGGAGAAAGCAGGGGAUCAUUAGACCUUGCGCUAUUAGAUGAGCCUAAGUCGGAUUAGCUAGAUGGUGGGGUAAAGGCCUACCAUGGCGACGAUCUGUAGCUGGUCUGAGAGGAUGAUCAGCCACACCGGGACUGAGACACGGCCCGGACUCCUACGGGAGGCAGCAGUGGGGAAUAUUGGACAAUGGGGGGAACCCUGAUCCAGCCAUGCCGCGUGUGUGAAGAAGGCCUUUUGGUUGUAAAGCACUUUAAGCAGUGAAGAAGACUCUUCGGUUAAUACCCGGGGACGAUGACAUUAGCUGCAGAAUAAGCACCGGCUAACUCUGUGCCAGCAGCCGCGGUAAUACAGAGGGUGCAAGCGUUAAUCGGAAUUACUGGGCGUAAAGCGAGCGUAGGUGGCUUGAUAAGUCAGAUGUGAAAUCCCCGGGCUUAACCUGGGAACUGCAUCUGAAACUGUUAGGCUAGAGUAKGUGAGAGGGAAGUAGAAUUUCAGGUGUAGCGGUGAAAUGCGUAGAGAUCUGAAGGAAUACCGAUGGCGAAGGCAGCUUCCUGGCAUCAUACUGACACUGASGCUCGAAAGCGUGGGUAGCAAACACGAUUAGAUACCCUGGUAGUCCACGCCGUAAACGAUGUCUACUASUCGUUGGAUCCCUUGAGGACUUAGUGACGCAGCUAACGCAAUAAGUAGACCGCC